GCGCAUGCUCCUCCGUAUUCUGAGGUUGGGUCCUGUCCAUCUGGUAGAGUCUGCGUCCCAGUUGACUUAAGGAGAUCGUUAGCCGAGGCGUGGGAAGGAGACCAAGUUUAGAAUGUUCGAACCGGAUCUAAGCAGCCUGAGCUACCCUUUCCCCAGCCUCGGUCUUUUGAUUCAAAAGAAUGAUGUUGCUUCUUGAUUCCUUUUCCUGUUCCAGUUCUCCAGGACGCAUUCCUGCCCUUCUGGCUAAGGUGGACUGAAGAAAUAGGGAACCGACGUCACAUGCCCUUACAGUGAUGAUGCUUUGUAAUUGGCCAGAAAUUAACCAGGAUUGUGUUGACGGGCCACUCACUGCUUAGAACAUAAAUCCCUAGCUUGGAGUCUGACAAAUAUUAAAAGAUCUAUGAUAUUUGAUCUCCAAAUAUCAUAAACUACCCCACAUUGAGAGCUCACCUACAGUUACUGAGAUACAAAGAAGAAAAUGCCAAGGUCAGAAGUUCUGGUUUCUGUGGAAGAAGAGUUCUACAUCAGGCUUCCCACAAAGCACCUUGCCUGGAUAGGUUAGAGAUGUCCAGACCUUCCAGUUCCCAAGCAUACUCUGCUCCCUGUAAGCAAGCAUCCAGCCUGGAUGAGUCCCUGCUGCAUAGUCUGCUGAGCGCUGCUUGCUCCUGCUGGUCAGCUUAGAGUUCUUUAUUCUUCUCCUGUACAGGUCCACUGCCCUCGACCCACCCCACACAAACAGGUUAAAAGGCAGUGGACCUUCCUCCUCCUGUAUGAACUUUCAUCACAUGGCAUUUGCACUGACUGGAUAGGUUGGAGUUUCCCAACCCUCUUCCCUACAAUGGAUUUCUGCCUUCCAAUAGACAAAUCCUCGUCAAGCAUGUUGGAUGUUUCAGGGUGUCCAGCACCCAACCACAAUUUCCUCCACCACAGUUGGAGAAGCUAAAGGCAACACCUCCUUUCCUUCCUCCAGUACACAUCCCUACCUCUAUGUGCACUCCCCAACUGAGCGAGUGAAGAGACAAAACCCACCCACACCCGGUACACAUGCGCCAUACUCUUUAAACACCCUGGCUCAUAGUUAGAGGAAACAUGACCCCAGCCCUUACAAAUGUUCCUACGACACUUUAUGAGCCAUAGUCCUUGAGGUUAGAAGAUGCACAGCAUCAGUGCACUCAUGGUAGUGAUUAUGGCUUAUGAAUUCAUAGGCCUUGUCUCCCUAGUAAGCCAAGAUCAGCCACGGCUGCUCCAUCCACAAGUCAACACCAAUCAAUGCUCUCCAGCAACGCUUAGUCAAGACCCACAGAGCAGAGGAAACGCCGUGCACCUUAACAAAUGCGCACUCAACCCAGGGUUUCAAGAAAGUUUUAGCUAACAGACUGCACCAGUAAAACCCAGCAUAAAUGCCACCCACACCAAUGUGAGAAGCCAAGACUGUCUUCUCCAAAAAUCACUAAUCUCAUAGCGACGGCCUGCAGUAGCAGUGAUAUAAAAGAAAUUACAAAGAAAUGUUUUUUGAAAAAUGUUUAGUGAUCUCAAAGAAGAUAUGAAUAAAUUUAAAAAGAAUGCAAUGAAUUGCAA